rnacentral:rRNA from 1 species
UGGGGAAUUUUGGACAAUGGGCGAAAGCCUGAUCCAGCAAUGCCGCGUGUGUGAAGAAGGCCUUCGGGUUGUAAAGCGCUUUUGUCCGGAAAGAAAUCCUUGGCUCUAAUACAGUCGGGGGAUGACGGUACCGGAAGAAUAAGCACCGGCUAACUACGUGCCAGCAGCCGCGGUAAUACGUAGGGUGCAAGCGUUAAUCGGAAUUACUGGGCGUAAAGCGUGCGCAGGCGGUUUGCUAAGACCGAUGUGAAAUCCCCGGGCUCAACCUGGGAACUGCAUUGGUGACUGGCAGGCUAGAGUAUGGCAGAGGGGGGUAGAAUUCCACGUGUAGCAGUGAAAUGCGUAGAGAUGUGGAGGAAUACCGAUGGCGAAGGCAGCCCCCUGGGCCAAUACUGACGCUCAUGCACGAAAGCGUGGGGAGCAAAACAGGAUUAGAUACCCUGGUAGUCCACGCCCUAAACGAUGUCAACUAGUUGUUGGGGAUUCAUUUCCUUAGUAACUAGCUAACGCGUGAAGUUGACCGCCUGGGGGAGUACGGUCGCAAGAUUAAAACUUAAAGGAAUUGACGGGGUCAUAGCUGUUUCCU